UUCUCUCUCCCUUUUCCGGCAGCCUACCCUCCCUCUCUUCUCUUUCCGGCUGGUGAGGCCAUUAGUCGGAGGUGGCGACGCCCCUCUGUCGCCAACCCUCUCCCUUAAACUGCCGCCCCUCUCUCUUCUCUUCUUCUUUCUCCUUUCUCCCUCCACUUUUUCCGACGACCCCCAUUUUAGCCGGCAAGGAUGGCUGCCAGGAAGCCUCCUCUCCCUCUCCCUCUCCUCCUUCCCUUCCCCCUCUUCCACUUAUUCCUAAUCGUCCCUCUCUUCUCCUCUUCCCGUCUCUUCCCUUCACUUUCCACUUCCCCUUUCUCUCCUUCUUUUGCAGGUACCACCGGCCAGCACCACCGGUAGGCCGCGCAGCAGCAGGCCAGAGACAACAGUCGCUGGCAGCCUCCGCCUCUUUCUCUCCCCCUUCUUACCUUCUCUCCAAUCGUCUCCCUCUUCCCCUCUCCUUCUCCAUCGUACCUCUUCCUCUAGUCGUUUCACCUCUCUGUUUUCCCUCCCUUUUCUUCUCCUGCAGGGACUGCAACUCCGUCAAAGGCAGCAGCACCAG
rnacentral:misc_RNA from 1 species